AACAGUAAAAAACAAAAAAAUGCCCAAUUAAUGAGUUUCCAAUUCUUCCAUUACACAGUGAGAGCAAACCCACAUAAUUACAACCUCCAUCUCGCUCAGCUCUCUAUACAUGUAUGUAUAGGUCUCUUUGUCUCUCUAUAUGGAUCAUGAACAAUUGCAUACGUCUGGCGAAGAUCGAGGUCGAACAUGGCGAACUAUCUUGCUCAGUUCCAGUCGAUCAAGAGCUCCCUCGAUCAUCUCCUGAUUGCAGUGGGAGGUCGAUCAUCCUGUUUCGAAAAUGAGAUCCUUUGCGAGUUUGCCAUUCCAGCGAGGCUAGGUGCUUUAUUCAAGUUCCUGGAUGCUUUCAGUCCCCUUUGGAACAUAAGCUUGUUCCGUUACUGUGGACAACUUUGUGCCUGUUAUGCUGACAAUCCACUUUACUCAUUGUAAUGUUGUUGCAUAAGGCUAAUAUUCCUCGUGUUUUCAUCUUACAAGGGUGAAAGUGGCGUGUGGAUGCGUUGGUCGGUUUUCAUGUUACAAGCUCUGAGAUAAACAAGUUCAAGGCACAGUAAUAGUACCUGUGUUCAGUUUAAAAAAUAGUAAUAGUACUAGUGUUCAGUUAAGAAAUAGUAUGUAUUCAUUUAAAAAAUAGUGAUAGUACUAGUGUUCAAUUUAAGAAACAAUGAUAGUAUUAUUGUUCAAUU